rnacentral:misc_RNA from 1 species
AAAGAUGACGUCAUUAGACUAAGAAACUUCAAAGAUGGCUGGAAAAAAAUUCAGAAAAAUAACUUGCCCAUUUAGUGUGAUUCUGGGCUGUUCAAGGAUGAUAUGAUCAUAUUGACAUAGAUCAUUAAAAGUGAACUUUUGGUUCACAAUUUGCUCCUAUAUUGAUGCAGUAUCUAGAGUGAUCUUGUUUAGAGAAAGAUGUCGUGGGAAGAGCUAUCUCAAGGAGCUGGAAGUGCAUUUCCCCCUAUAGAUGGUGUACCAAUUAAACUAUCUGACAAGUACAAGCCAUUGAAAAAGGUGACUCUCCCCCUGAAUUUUCAACAGAGGGACAUAUCGUCAAUCCUAAACCUGCAAUAUGACUUUACACUGGAGACUGAUGUGAUAGAAUGGACAGAAGCCCAGAAGGAGAGUCAGCUCAUGGAGGAGCAGGCUCACUUUGAUAAUAUUGCCACUAACAUAGAACAACUAGGAAAAGACAAUGAUAGCAUGGAUAUUGAUAUAGAAGGUGCUGAUUUUGCCCCAGAAGGGUCUCAUACAAUUAUGCCAGAGCCAGAUGAUGAUGAUCAAAAUCAUGUUUCGGAUCAGCAAAUUAGAUCAACGGAGAAUGUGGCACCUCUUGUAGCACAGGUGCCUAGUGUAGAUGUGCCGCUGAAUAUUUGGAAUAAUAUUCUUCAACCUGUUCAAAUUCAACCAAAUAAACAAACCAACCAGCCAAAACCUGCAGAAAGGUCAACUUCUUUUAAUUUGGCUGAUUUUGAAAGGGUGCAAGAUCCUUUUGAUAGUGUUGAGCUUAAAACUCUUAACGAUUUUGAAGAAUUGGGAAAAGUUUUACAAAACACACAAGUGACUUCUGCAGUUUCACAAUCAGGUAUUCAACCUGGAGUAGUCAAAGAUACAUUUAUGCCCAAUGGUGGGGCAAUGGACUUAAACAGGCCAGUUAUUCAAGGUUCUGCAACAAGUGGACCCCCUAUUCAGCAAUAUAGUGAGCAAAGGGCUCAGGCUGUUGCUAGUUUAAAUAGGCCCUCCAACAGUAUAAACCAAACCAUCAGAACACAACCCACAGCUACGUUAAAUCAGGGCACAGUCAGUUUUAACAAAAAUUCCGAUGCUGUAACAUUCCCAACUGUUCCCUCUAAUGUUAAAAUCCCUCGCUCUAUUAACCAACAGACAGCAGUGUCAGUUCCCAGUAGUAGUGCAGCGAAUAAUUCGGCAAGUAAUCCAUUCACUCGAGGACAGGUCCUGCCCCCUAUUGGUAGUAGUUUUAGUGAUCAGGAUGAAUUUGGGUUACCACGAAUACCACAUUGUACCCUGGCCUCUAUUGGUGCUACAGAUGCUCAAAACCGAUAUUCUAGUAGUCUCUAUAGUAAUAGCUGCAAUACAAACAAUUCAGCUAGCACACAUAAUGGCACCCCUGUCCAGUCAUCUGCUGCCACAGGAACUGUUCAAAACAGUUUUGUAAACUCACAUGAUGCAAUUGCAGCAAAUGGCCCUUAUAACCCUUGGCAGCUUCCUCCAUAUACUCCUCGUAGAGCAUCCCAACCUGUGCCAGUCCCUACACCACAAUCUAAUCAUGUCUCUAAUCAAGGCAGACUAACUGCUGCAAAAAGUAUUGAGAGCUUACACAAAGAUUUAAAUGCAAAUAGAGACGAUGUGCAAAAUAUGACCAGGCUGCAAAAGUGCAAAAGCAAUCCAGAUUUAACUGAAAUAGGAGGCCUGAGAAAACCAAUGGGAAAAUCACAGACAAAAAGACCAUACCCCGUUUCAAAAACACCACCGCCAUACCCCGUUUCUACCAAGGUGCCAGAUGAAUCCUCAUCACCCCCACCCCCAUACACCCUAGGUUCAUCACCUCCACCAUAUAGACAUAGUCCAUCUCCAUUAACAGAACCCCCUCAGAGCCAUAAUGGUUAUGGGGCUAGUCCAACACCCUCGGCAAUAACUAGUCUCCCCAAUCCAUACCCUCGUCUUUCAAGUGAACACAAACUAUUAGUGGAUAAUAUAUCUGCAAUGGGGUUUCCACAUACCAGGGUGGCUAGGGCUGUUGAAAAAUACAAAGAGGAUGAUAAAAUGGUUGUUGAUUACCUGUGCUCUGUGAACAGACUUAUAGAGAAAGGUAACCAUGGAGAUAAAGCAGAGGAUGCUCUAAAUUUAUAUGACAACAAUGAAGAAAAGGCUUCUGAAUAUCUUGAAGUGAUGGGUCAACUGGCAGAGCUGGGAUUUGCUGAAGACAAGAUUAAAGAAGCUUUAGUUCUAACUGAUAACAACAGAGAGAACGCAUUGGACCAUCUUAUAUAAAAAUACAAACUGACCUUGAAAUACGACUACAGUAUUGGCAGGCUUUUUAAAGGAGACAGUUUUUUAAAGGAAUGCUUACAGAAACUACAUUUUUAUUAUUUGAUCAUACUUCAUUUGAAAGCUGCUAUGGGAAAUGUCAGCGUAUUCAAAUCAACCAAGCCAUAUGUGGAUAAUUAUUCACACCUGUAGCUACAUAAGUAAGGAUUGUUCACUCUGACAUUACUGAAAAAGAAUAAGGAACCAUGUCCAGAUGUCAAUAGUUGUGAAAUGUUUUCAUUUCCCAUGAAAUGUUAUUAAUUAAUUAUGCAUACUCUACUAUCAAUAUUUGGACAUGUUUCCAAAUAAAAAUGACAUGACAGUUAAAGGCAUACAUGUACCAGGUACAUUCUGAAUCUGAUUCAUGAUCAGUAGUAGUAAUGGAUCUAAGUUAUUUAUUCAGAAGUAAGAUUGAACUCGCCUAUUUAUUUUGAUUUUUUGGGGAGUUAAUUUGUAUUAUUGGUGCCUUAAGUUAAUUUGGCAUCUUCAAGUAUCACUGAAGUAACUAGGCUCAUACCGAAAUAGCCUGACAACGGUAA